AGCUCUAGAUAACUCACUCGGAAACAGAGGCCUAUUUAUGUAGAUCACUUGCAUUUGUCCCAUUGCAGGAAGGUCUUUCAAAUGCGUAUCCACAAUUGAUGAUAUGCAGCGAGCCAGCGACUUCUUGGUAUUAUAUUGCCUGCAGCGACUGUAAAACUAAGGCCACCAGAGAACCUUCUUCGUUGUUGUGCCCAAAGUUUGGCAACAUUAACGUAUCCGGGGAGCAAAGUAUGAACUCUAACCUCUAAUAGUUUCAGGGAGACUGUUGUGACAUGGAUCCUCCAUUUUUGGGAAGCAUGGAACCUGAAGAAGGGUGGAGAGGAGAGCUUAUGGGGUGGACAUAUUAUAUUAAAUGAGAAGAUAUUUGUUCACAUCUGAAUCUAUGUGCUUCAUACCUAGAUGAGAAGGAAGACAAUGAAAGAUAUCUACACAGAUGUAGCUGAUCAAGUAGGUAUGGAAAGUACAAGUUCGUUUUCCACGAAGACCAUAGAUGAGAUAUGUGAUGUUACGUGUAGCAUUGAAGAAUUACGUGUAACAUUGAAGAAUUACAAUGGUAUUCAGAUUAGUCAAGCUAACAACAAGGGGUCUGAGACAUAUGUUAUUGGUGUGUGUUGCUAUGAGUUGAUUAAGAAGUAUCAGGUUGGUGAAGAUGAGCUCUAAGAUUAGUAGACCGGUUUCCUUAUCAAUGUUAUGAUCUGUUUAAAAAAUAUAUAUAUACUUAUUUGUCUUCGAUGAUGAUGACUCAUUGAAACUAUGUUUGUGUAAGCUUCUUCUAUUCAUAUGUCACUUCUUAUAUAGAAAGGUGGUGGCAGACUCACCGCCGCCAUCAGCUUCACCGAGAUGACUAUGUUUGUUGGAUACAUGUGAACAAUGAUCAGAUCCUCCUCAGCCCUCUCCAGGUAGCUUUCGUGUGGCACAUCCUGCAAUAAUCAAAUCAGAUCUAACCAGUAAGAAGAGAAAAAGCACUCAAAGUUGUGAUAAAGGCUUGACUUGCCUUCUUUGGAUGUGUGUAGGAAUUUUCUUUUUAUUUAUUGAUCAAAUGUGUGAAGUAAUUUUCAUCCAUCAUAUUUGUAGAUGAAAUUAUUGUCUUCUCCUGAAACUCAUCACAUUUGGAUCCAGUCCACUAAUCAACACCUUCAUA